UCACGCUGCAAAUUCAAAAUGAAACGCACAACGACCAAAUCAAAGGCAGCGUUGUGUUUGGUCAACUCGCUUUAUUUUCAUAUAAGAAUGCGUUGAAAUUUAUUUUUUAAUUCAUUGGUUCAUUCAUCGAUUCAUCGAAAAUUCAAAUUCUGAAGCGUAUUUAUGGUGUGAAUUUUUAAUAUUUUUUU